UUAAAGUAUUUGGCAAAGAGAAUCCAAGCUAUGUUAGAGGUAUGGGAUUUGGUGUUCGUCCAUCUCAAAUGAUUGGAUCCUUAUCCCGCUCAAGAGAGUCUAUGCAAUCUACUACAACUAGUGGACCAUCAAGAGCUGAAUAUCAAAACUUGAAGUUACAAGUACAAUUGCUACAGGAGCAAGUAAAUUUUCUUGUGAAUCAUCAAGAGGGUCAAUUGCCACCCGGUUUUCCUACUGAGGUUGCAGAUUUUGAAUUACCGACACAUACAAGACCAUAUUCUUCUGCCAGUCAUGAACCUCAACAACAUAGGCCAUCCAACGUUUAAAGGAGUUUUAUGAUUGAAUUGUUAGGUUUACAAGUUUGGAUUAAGUUGGAAUUUUUU